UGGGGUAUAUUGGACAAUGGGCGAAAGCCUGAUCCAGCCAUGCCGCGUGUGUGAAGAAGGCCUUAUGGUUGUAAAGCACUUUAAGCGAGGAGGAGGGUACUGGUAUUAAUACUACCAGCUACUGGACGUUACUCGCAGAAUAAGCACCGGCUAACUCUGUGCCAGCAGCCGCGGUAAUACAGAGGGUGCGAGCGUUAAUCGGAUUUACUGGGCGUAAAGCGUGCGUAGGCGGCUAAUUGAGUCGGAUGUGAAAUCCCCGGGCUUAACUUGGGAAAUGCAUUGGAUACUGGUUAGCUAGAGUGUGGGAGAGGAUGGUAGAAUUCCAGGUGUAGCGGUGAAAUGCGUAGAGAGCUGGAGGAAUACCGAUGGCGAAGGCAGCCAUCUGGCCUAACACUGACGCUGAGGUACGAAAGCAUGGGGAGCAAACAAG
rnacentral:rRNA from 1 species